CAGCAGGUGGAAGAAGCAGAUGGUUUCUGAGUGAUGGAGCUGUACCAGCUGAUUAGUGCGGCGGUUCUGCUGAUUCUGAUGACUCCAGAGUCGGAGUCGCAGCUCUCUGAUUGUGGUAAACCAGCAUUAAACACCAGGAUUGUUGGAGGAGCAGCGGCUCCUGAGGGUCGUGGCCCUGGCAGGUCAGUCUGCAGACCUCGUCUCACUUCUGUGGAGGAUCUCUGAUAAACAGAGAAUGGGUGCUGACUGCAGGUCACUGCAUUAUCAGGUGAGCACAGAAGGCACAACGGUUGGUUAGUUUGAUGGAUGAGAGAUCUGACAACCAGUGGCUCAAGUGUCACUGGAUUAAUUCAAAG